rnacentral:rRNA from 1 species
CCUACGGGGGGCAGCAGUAGGGAAUCUUCCGCAAUGGACGCAAGUCUGACGGAGCAACGCCGCGUGAGUGACGAAGGUUUUCGGAUCGUAAAACUCUGUUGUGAGGGAAGAACAAGUACCAACUAACUACUGGUACCUUGACGGUACCUCACCAGAAAGCCACGGCUAACUACGUGCCAGCAGCCGCGGUAAUACGUAGGUGGCAAGCGUUGUCCGGAAUUAUUGGGCGUAAAGCGCGCGCAGGCGGUCCCUUAAGUCUGAUGUGAAAGCCCACGGCUCAACCGUGGAGGGUCAUUGGAAACUGGGGGACUUGAGUGCAGAAGAGGAAAGUGGAAUUCCACGUGUAGCGGUGAAAUGCGUAGAGAUGUGGAGGAACACCAGUGGCGAAGGCGACUUUCUGGUCU